GCCUGAGUGGCUUAGUCGGUUAAGCGUCUGACUUCGGCUCAGGUCAUGAUCUCACAGUUCGUGAGUUCGAGCCCCACAUCAGGCU
rfam:Felis catus isolate Cinnamon breed Abyssinian chromosome A1, whole genome shotgun sequence.